rnacentral:misc_RNA from 1 species
GAGAGAGAGAGAGAGAGAGAAGCUUUUACUCAUUUGUUUUCAACAAAUUCAGAUUUCACUACUUAAUUGUUGAAUGCUAAUUACUCGGUUGUAUUUUGGUACUUGGUUUCCAUUAGCAUUUUUGUCAAUUGUUCAUAUUUCUUUUUCACUGUAUCUAAGUACUUCUGUAUGCUGAGACUGACUAGACUGGUUCACAACUUAAAAGUGCUCUCUCUGUCUUCCUCACCUUACCCACUUUUUUCUUUUUUCUCCCUUAAAGUUGGGGGGUGUUCGGCGGUGGGGUGUUUUCUUAAGCUGGUAGAGGCAAAUGCACUUGCGCCUCCCUAACAGUAGGGAGGAGGACCAACCUUCACGUUUUGGUGGGGAAGAAAGAAAAGGAUGGAAGGUGAAAUUUUUCUCUGUUUGAUAGUGGAAGUGAGAGGAUGUAGAAUGUCAAACAAUAUUAUUUACCCAAGCCCCUAUUUUCGUUGUCCUACACCUAGUCUGCCGAAAAAAAAAAAAAA